AUUGAACGCUGGCGGCAGGCCUAACACAUGCAAGUCGAGCGGAUGAAGGGAGCUUGCUCCUGGAUUCAGCGGCGGACGGGUGAGUAAUGCCCAGGAAUCUGCCUGGUAGUGGGGGAUAACGUCCAGAAACGGGCGCUAAUACCGCAUACGUCCUGAGGGAGAAAGUGGGGGAUCUUCGGACCUCACGCUAUCAGAUGAGCCUAGGUCGGAUUAGCUAGUUGGUGGGGUAAAGGCCUACCAAGGCGACGAUCCGUAACUGGUCUGAGAGGAUGAUCAGUCACACUGGAACUGAGACACGGUCCAGACUCCUACGGGAGGCAGCAGUGGGGAAUAUUGGACAAUGGGCGAAAGCCUGAUCCAGCCAUGCCGCGUGUGUGAAGAAGGUCUUCGGAUUGUAAAGCACUUUAAGUUGGGAGGAAGGGCAGUAAGUUAAUACCUUGCUGUUUUGACGUUACCAACAGAAUAAGCACCGGCUAACUUCGUG
rnacentral:rRNA from 1 species